rnacentral:rRNA from 1 species
GACAGAGGGUGCAAGCGUUGUUCGGAAUUACUGGGCGUAAAGCGCGUGUAGGCGGCUAUGCAAGUCGGAUGUGAAAGCCCUCGGCUCAACCGGGGAAGUGCACCCGAAACUGCAAAGCUAGAGUCUCGGAGAGGAUCGUGGAAUUCUCGGUGUAGAGGUGAAAUUCGUAGAUAUCGAGAGGAACACCGGUGGCGAAGGCGGCGAUCUGGACCGGUACUGACGCUGAUGCGCGAAAGCGUGGGGAGCAAACGGG